CACAGAUCCGGAGAAAUAUGACAAAAGGUCAAAGAUCUAAAGUUUUGGGUCGAGAUUUUACUGGAUUUGACCAUGAAUAUAUUUUUACGCUUCGGCGAACCUCCAACGGCUUCUGACCCUGCAUUGCUGCCUCGUCCUUUAUUUACACUGCUCCGGCGAGACAUUGCUUAGCAGAUUCCGAUGCUCUAGGUUAAAGGCAGAAAAGUUUUUAUGAAUACUGCCAUAAAUCUCAAAUCCAUAGAUUUAGAUGGUUGAAAAAAACAUAUUUAAAAGUAAACUAGUAUGAGUUCUACACCA